rnacentral:rRNA from 1 species
GCCUACGGCCAUACCACCCUGAACGCACCCAAUCUCAUCUGAUCUUAGAAGCUAAGCAGGGUCAGGCCUGGUUAGUACUUGGAUGGGAAGAGGGAGGCUGAAGCCGUUGUGC